rnacentral:lncRNA from 13 species
AUGAUAAACAGCAACACUUUUAUUUUCCCUCAGUGGCUCCCCAAGUCCCUUAAACUCGUGCCCCUCCUCCCGUCCCCCAUGUACCCUCCAAACGAGGUGACAAAGGUGGCAGUGAACAAGUGGGAGGAGGAGAAACACCUUUAUUGGAAAAGUUGUGUAGACAAGAGAAUGGGGAUGAGAGUGAGCAUGGGAGGUGGGGUCCAAGAACCUGGUGGGGAGGGAGGCAAGAGGCCUGGGGUUCCCACGGAGAAGGGGGCAAGAAGCCACCUGGUUUCACCGAUCCAUGCUGUCAUCGGUCGGGCUGGAGAAACACGUCUGUAACAGCUUUUCACAGAACUCCAGCUCCUCCUGGAUUGGGCAGGGGCAGGGAGCAAGGGACCUGAGUACAGAGGGAGGACCCUGCCUCCCACACUCUUGGCACCCAGAGGGGAUGCCUCUUCUGGCCACCACCCACCCACUCCAGAGGUUAGGCUUCUCUAAUCACUGCUCACAGCCAUGAUUUACUGUCUUCACACGUGUCUGCACUACUUGAACAAAACCCACGGUCUCCCACCGUCAUCUCACUAGGUUUGUCUGCCUUAGAGCGGCAGUCUUAGACUCCUUCUCACUCCCAGGUAUUGACCACCUCUCAAAACUUUCUGCAGACACAAAGCCCAGAAACAAUGACAGAAAGCACUGACAGGUUAAACCAUGUAAAUAUCAAAGAUACUUCCAAGGCAAAAGAAAGAAAACGAGGUUGGGGGAAAAAUAUUUGUGAUUCAUAGCACAAAUGGCUAAUACACUUAACACUUAAAGAGCUUAAAAAAUCGCCAGGCGCGGUGGCUCACGCCUGUAAUCCCAGCACUUUGGGAGGCCGAGGUGGGUGGAUCACGAGGUCAAGAGAUCGAGACCAUACUGGUCAACAUAGUGAAACCCCAUCUCUACUAAAAAUACAAAAAAAUUAGCUUGGCAUGGUGCCUGUAAUCCCAGCUACUCGGGAGGCUGAGGCAGGAGAAUUGCCUGAACCCAGGAGGCAGAGGUUGUGGUGAGCCUAGAUCGCGCCACUGCACUGCAGCCUGGGUGACAGAGAAAGACUCCAUCUCAAAAAAAAAAAAGAAAAGAAAAAACGCUGGGCACGGUGGCUCACUGUAAUCCCAGCACUUUGGGAGGCUGAGGUAGGUACAUCACGAGGUCAGGAGUUCAAGACCAGCCUGGCCAACAUGGUGAAACCCCGUCUCUACUAAAAGACAAAAAUUAGCUGGGCAUGGUGGCGUGUGCCUGUGAUCCCAGCUACUCAGGGGGCUGAGGCAGGAGAAUCGCUUGAACCUGGGAGGUGGACAUUGCAGUGAGCCAAGACUGCGCCACCGUACAGCAGCCUGGGCAGCAGAGUGAGACUCCAUCUCAAAAAAAAAAAAAAAAAAAAAAGAGGCCAUCCACACUGUACAGCUGUAAAAUGAAAGACCUACUGACGAGACGUGCAAUGCACACAGAGCAAGGGGCAGAAGAGCCAUCACAGCGGGGCAGGUUUAUUUCGCAUAACAUACAGAAAAAGAAGAAUUCACAUGCACCUUUGCUUGUAUGCACCUAAUAUCUUAGGAAGGACACCUGAGCGACUGCAUAGCUAGAGGGAAGGGCAGGAGAGAGACUUUUCACUGUUUACCUUCCUGUGGAUCUUGUAUUUUCAACCACGUGACCAUGAAACCUAUUCAGAAAGCAUUAGUAAAAUCUAAUUUAGGCCACGUGUGGUGGCUCACGCCUGUAAUCCAAGCACUUGGGAGGCCAAGGCCGGCGGAUCACCUGAGGUCAGGAGUUCAAGACCAGCCUGACCAACAUGGUGAAACCCCGUCUUUAAAAAAAAAAAAAAAAAAACUAAUUUAAAUCUAAUUUGAAUGUUUCCACAGAUGUAUACAUAAGUCAACACUUCUCAUGUAGGACCCUUUCAGUAUGUGCAGACACAAGACUGUCUACAGAGGAAUGAACCCAACAGAAUAGAAUGUCCCAGGGAGGUGGGCGAGUUUGCUAAGCUUGGCUUUGCCGAAGCACCAGGCAUUGAUUCACUCACUUCAACCAAUUAAUACAUGACUUAACAAUCAGUUAACUAUUUGAAUGUGUAAUCAGUUCAGUAUGACUCGACAUUUGUUACUUAUCUAGUUAUCUAAUCAGUUGUGACUCAGCAUUUGUUACUUAUCUAGUUAUCUAAUGAGUUAUCAUUUAUAUGCCCCUUAUCUAUUGAAAUCCCUGAUGACUUCUUGUCACUUGUUACUCACCUAAUAUAAUUGGUUAUUACUUGUCAUUUGUUAUUUCUUGUCAAUUUAAUGAAAUAGUUCAUCAUAAAGACACUGGAGUGGUAUUAUAUUCAAUUUACAUGUACCUACUGUAAACACCUAUAUUAGGUAAUUCAGGUACUAAUUAAAUGACUUGGUCAACUCCUUAAGAAUCUCCAAGGUCUUGUCUCCUUGCUGUCUCUCCUGCACUGACACAGCACGGGACGAAUGCUAGGCCUGAAAUAAACAUCUGCUGAAUGGAGGAUGAGUGAAACUC